UACGUAGGGUGCAAGCGUUAAUCGGAAUUACUGGGCGUAAAGCGCACGCAGGCGGUUUGUUAAGUCAGAUGUGAAAUCCCCGGGCUCAACCUGGGAACUGCAUCUGAUACUGGCAAGCUUGAGUCUCGUAGAGGGGGGUAGAAUUCCAGGUGUAGCGGUGAAAUGCGUAGAGAUCUGGAGGAAUACCGGUGGCGAAGGCGGCCCCCUGGACGAAGACUGACGCUCAGGUGCGAAAGCGUGGGGAGCAAACAGG
rnacentral:rRNA from 1 species